rnacentral:rRNA from 1 species
UACGGAGGGUGCGAGCGUUGUCCGGAAUCACUGGGCGGAAAGGGCGCGUAGGUGGCCGAGCAAGGUCGCGGUGAAAGCCCGGGGCUCAACCCCGGGUCGGCCGUGGCAACUACUGGGCUGGAGCACUGUAGGGGCGGGUGGAAUUCCGGGUGUAGCGGUGGAAUGCGUAGAGAUCGGCAGGAACACCCAGGGGGAAACCAGUCGACUGGGCAUCUACUGACGCUGAGGUGCGAGAGCGUGGGGAGCGAACCGG